rnacentral:lncRNA from 1 species
AUGGGGGCGAGGGCCCAAGCUCAUAGGGGAAAGGCCCAGGGCCCUAGGGGCAAGGGUCCAGGGUUGUGGGGACAAGGGCCCAGGGCCACAGGGCAGGGUCCAGGGUCACAGGGUCAUACGGACAAGCCCCAGGGCCCUAGGGGCAAGGACCCAGGGUCACAGGGGCAAGGGCCCAGGGCCACAGGGCAAGGGUCCAGGGUCACAGGGGCAAGGGCCACAGGGGCAAGGGUCAUAGGGACAAGCCCCAGGGCCCUAGGGGCAAGGACCCAGGGUCACAGGGGCAAGGGCCCAGGGUCCCGGGGGCAAGGGUCCAGGGUCAUGGGUACAAGGCCCAGGGCCCUAGGGACGAGGGCCCAGGGUCACGGGGGCAAGGGUCCAGGGUCACAGGGCAAGGGUCCAGGGUCACAGGGCAAGGCCCCAGGAUGCAGGGAGUUAGGAGGGAGAAGGGGAGGGAACAGGGAGGGGACCCACGUGCAGGAGCUCAGGCAGAGGCCACCAUGUGGUGUGGCCCAUGUCACAGUGGUGUGGGCUGUGGCUGUCAACCUCAGAGCCAUUAGUGCAGAGAAGGGGACCUACCGGCUGGAGCGCAGAGAGGAAGCAGAAGUGACACCAGCGUGUGUGUGUCCCCGGCUGCCACGUCCCCGGCGAACGGGGUUCAGGAUGGAGCCUGGGAGCGCCCCGGCCCCUAACAGGAAAGGCCCCCCUGGGGCGCUGGCUGGGCCAGAGCCAGACCGAGCCGGCAGGAGAGGACCAGUAGCGCCGGGGGCGACCUGCGUCCUUCCCGCCCGCUGGGUUUGCGGGCAGCCUCCGCACGGGGCGUGGGUGAGCACACAAGGCCUGAGCCGGCAGAGGGGCUUGUGGGUACUAGGGCUGCUGCAGCCCUGGGUUGAGACCAGGACCCCGAUCCUCCCACACAGGGGCCCCCGGUGCUCACGCUGCGGCCGCUGGGGCCGGCGGGGCGGGGAGGAGAUGCACCUGGAGUUCUUGGAGCCGAGUGGCUCGGACUCGGAGAGCUGUGGCUGUUGGCCGGGCUGGUGGAAGAGAUCUGCGUUGUCCUCCUGA